GAAACUGGUGCUAGAAAGGAGAGGGUGAAGAGUUGGGGCAGCCCCAGACCUUCCAGCAGCAUAGCCUGUGUGGAGCACUGGCUGUGGUGCCAUGGGCACAGUGCAAAACACAUCUGAGGGGCAAAAUGCAGCAGGUGCCACACCGUGCUGCAUCUACGUUGCUCCUGUGCUCUGGUGUCUCCAUAGAGGGACUUGGUGCCCACUGGGACAUCAGGUGGAGAUAGCCAGAAGCUGCUGAGCUGGAAAUUCCAGAUGUGCAGUCACAGGGUGCUGCUGUGGCAAAAUGGUGACACCAUUCCUUGCUGAAAAUCAAGUGCUUCAGUGCAUUACCAUGAAUGGAAAGGAACUGUUUUUUGAGGAGCAUCCAGUGGAGAAUGCUAGUGAGGAAAACCAGGCAAAGCAGUCUUAAAUUAAAUGGGAAUUCAGACUUCCCAUUUCAGAA